GAAGCAGUAGCUCAGUUGGUAGAGCAAUGAUUAGUUCUUUAAAUUACCACCGGCCAAUUUAAACUUACUUCUAUUGUUAAAUCUCCCCUAUGGGGGGAUUACGUUUGAAAAUUACCGUGGUCAAUAAGCACUUACUUCAUUAUGGGUCGUUGGUUCGAAUCCAACCUGCUUCA
rnacentral:tRNA from 1 species